rnacentral:lncRNA from 1 species
UGACUGAGCCACCCGGGCUCCCCGGAAAGUCUUAUUUUAAAAAAAAACUAUCAUAUGCUGGGAGAGCAGCAACUUAAAAGAAAAAAAAAAAUCAAAAUGUGAAAAGCAGAGCAAGCAGAGAUUAAGGUAGACCUGAAGUCUCCAAAGAAACCAAAUCAAUAAGACAUGGAAUCUUCAUCAGUCAAGAGCCAAGUACUUUGAAGUAUUCAUACAUACCAGCUGGAAGAAACAUACCACGGCUACACUUAAACCUAAACACGUGCACUGCAUGAUAGGACUGCUAAAUUGGAUAUAUUAAGGUUCACAAUUUCUUGGAGGCAACUGUAUGUAUUUAGACAAUUUCUAGGAUGAUAGAAAGUGAAAAAAUAAGUUAUCUAAACUGAUACUUUCAUGUCUUUUGUAACCGAUUUUCUAAAAGAACAUGACUUGCUAUGUAUAUUUUUAAAAUAGGAUGUAUGUUUUGAGUUGAUUUCCUGAUAGUGGCAAUGAGUUUUCCUCAACACAUGUGUGUAGUGGUUCUGUGAAUAAUGGCACACAUUGACGAGACAGCUGGCCGAGGAGAGAACAUUUAUUCAUGUAGAGAUACCACGGUCAUAUGACAAUGAACCCACGAAAGCUUCACAGCAGCACCAUGACACACCCAACCAUAUGAAUAAAUCUGAGUGGGGAAUAGUU